rnacentral:rRNA from 1 species
AUUGAACGCUGGCGGCAGGCUUAACACAUGCAAGUCGAGCGAGCGGCGGACGGGUGAGUAAAGUCUGGGAAACUGCCUGAUGGAGGGGGAUAACUACUGGAAACGGUAGCUAAUAACGCAUACCAUCAGAUGUGCCCAGAUGGGAUUAGCUAGUAGGUGGGGUAAUGGCUCACCUAGGCGACGAUCCCUAGCUGGUCUGAGAGGAUGACCAGCCGCACUGGAACUGAGACACUGUCCAGACGCCGACUGUAGGCGGCAGUGGGGAAUAUUGUACAAUGGGCGCAAGCCUGAUGCAGCCAUGCCGCGUGUGUGAAGAAGGCCUUCGGGUUGUAAAGCACUUUCAGCGAGGAGGCGUUACUCGCAGAAGAAGCACCGGCUAACUCCGUGCCAGCAGCCGCGGUAAUAC